rnacentral:rRNA from 1 species
AGAGUUUGAUCAUGGCUCAGAUUGAACGCUGGCGGCGUGCCUAACACAUGCAAGUCGAGCGGUAAGGCCCCUUCGGGGGUACACGAGCGGCGAACGGGUGAGUAACACGUGAGUAACCUGCCCCUGACUCUGGGAUAAGCCUGGGAAACUGGGUCUAAUACCGGAUAUGACCUCGUGCCGCAUGGUGUGGGGUGGAAAGGUGUUUUUCCGGUCAGGGAUGGGCUCGCGGCCUAUCAGCUUGUUGGUGGGGUAACGGCCUACCAAGGCGAUGACGGGUAGCCGGCCUGAGAGGGCGACCGGCCACACUGGGACUGAGACACGGCCCAGACUCCUGCGGGAGGCAGCAGUGGGGAAUAUUGCGCAAUGGGCGGAAGCCUGACGCAGCGACGCCGCGUGGGGGAUGAAGGCCUUCGGGUUGUAAACCUCUUUUACCACUCACGAAGGCCCCUGGUUUUCCGGGGGUUGACGGUAGGUGGUGAAUAAGGACCGGCUAACUACGUGCCAGCAGCCGCGGUAAUACGUAGGGUCCGAGCGUUGUCCGGAAUUAUUGGGCGUAAAGAGCUCGUAGGCGGCCUGUCGCGUCUGCUGUGAAAGUCCGGGGCUUAACUCCGGGUGUGCAGUGGAUACGGGCAGGCUUGAGGUAGGUAGGGGAGACUGGAAUUCCUGGUGUAGCGGUGAAAUGCGCAGAUAUCAGGAGGAACACCGGUGGCGAAGGCGGGUCUCUGGGCCUUACCUGACGCUGAGGAGCGAAAGC